UCAGGGCCUGGGGAGCAGCUGGCUGAGCUCCUGCAGGCGCAGUGCUGGGGUCGGAGUAGCAAACCUUCUGCCCCCGUGAACACAGGAGAAGAGGGAGGGUGUGGCUCUCUCCACACCGUCUCACGGGUGGUUGUGGAGAGCGGAGAACAAACAGGCCCAGCAAAGCAGCAAAACCCGGUGGGCAACUCCAGGAUCCAUUGCAAUGAGGAAGGACCCUCACCCUCCCUACCCCCGGCCAGUCCGCGGGGACCAGGACCUGGCACGCGUCCCCUCCACGCUGAGGCAGUGGGCCGCCGGCAGCGUGCCCCGGGCGGGUCCCCUGAAUCCUCCUCCUCUGCGACCUCCCGGCGAGCUGAGGCAGCCCGGCCCAGGCCCUCCUUGGCUUUUCCCUGCGCUCAGCCUUUUCUCGCCCACUCUCCGGAGGCCCAUACUCUCCCUCGAGGAUGUACUGAUAAAGCUCUUACUCAUCCGCUCCCAGCCCUCCCAUCCGUAAUUCUUCGCUGCGUCGUCGGGGAAGCAGAGCCGCACUUCCAAUCAGAGACUCAUCCCCGGCAUCGGCCAGCCGGGGCUGCAAGACCGGUCCACUGAGGGAAGUUGUGGUUGAGAAACCGCAUGAAGCAAGGGAGUUUCUUAAAAGGGGAUUUCUCUAUUUCCCCUUCUUUCCUUGUUCCCUAUACUCAGGAAAUCUUGAGAGUUUCCUAAAGGGAAACGCUGACCAAAUAGGCGCUGGCAAGUCUUCUAGCAGGAGGGGAAAAAAAAAAACAAACCCCAAAGCUGAAUCUCUCUGUGAACAGCGUCCAGGGCCCGCUCUCUUUCUGGGUGUGUGCAGACACUACUUGGUUUUAGGGUGGGGUUUGGGGGUGCCGUUGUGUGCCUCUCAAGGGAGCCUCUCCUCCCGGCUCACGAUGAAGCAAUUAAGAAUCACUGGCAGGGAAGUGACUGGAAGCAAAGGGGAACCGUUCUGGGGAAAGUCCUGCCUGAUCACACAACCCUCAGCCACUCCAUUUAAGGUGAGCACUGCGGGAAGGCAGGAAGCAACCCCUGGAGUGGACUCCAGGCCCAGGCGCACGCUAUCCGCAAGGCCACACUGACCAGGAGCUGUCCCAGGGAGCCUCAGGUGGCCUGCCUGGGGGAGGGAGGCUGCAGGUGGUGUAGACACCCCCCCCCCCCCCGGAAAAGCCCAGGGGAGCAGGAAGCUAUUGGUAUUCGGCGACAGCGGCUCUCUUCCCUGUGCUGAGUCAUCUCGCAGUGGGGCACCGGGGGACCACACCUGCCUGAAUUUCUGAGGCCUCCGGAAAACCCCAGCAGCCCUCAUCCCUGGGAGCUUUUACCUUGGGUAAUCCCUCCUCCCCCUCCCCCUCGGCAUUUCCAACAGCUCCACCUUCCCAACCUCUCUUUCUCCUCCAAGGGCAAUCUUCACAGAUGGGGGGCCCACAAGUUCAGUGUGGUUGCAUCAUCCACGCAAAGCUUUUCCACGGCAAUGGAGCCUUAAGUGUAUUGCUAAUUUAGCGAUAAUAAUAGCUAAUGUUUAGUAAUCACUUACUGUGUCCAGGUAUUGUUGACUGACUGUGAAGUCAAUCAGGAGACUUCAGCUAGAAACAUCACAAAGAUUUGCCCAGGGGCCACCCUGGCUGGUGUGGCUCAGUGGAUUGAGCGCUGGCCUGCAAACCCCAAGGCUGCCGGUUUAAUUCCCAGCCAGGGCAGAUGCCUGGGUUUGGGGCCAGGUCCCCAGUUGGGGGUGCACAAGGGGCAACAGGUAUCCCUUACACACAUCAAUGUUUUUCUCCCUCCCUUGCUCUCUCUCUAAAAACAAAUAAA